rnacentral:lncRNA from 1 species
UAUCUUCCGUUUAGUUUCUCAGUUCAUCCAAAACCAUAUCCAGGCCAUCACCAAUCAUUCUAUACCACAAAUGUUUCUUCUAACAUCCCCACAAUAUCACCCCUUACCACAAGAUCUCCCUUCAGCUUAAUCUCUCCCACUCUAGGUUCCCACGCCACCCCUAAUCCUGCUUGAAGCAGCCCUGAGAAACAUCACCCAUUCUCUCUCUCCAUACCACCCCCCAAGAAUUUUCACCGCCCCCACACUUCAACACUAUUUUGUUUUAUUUUUCUUAUUAAUAUAAGAAGGCAGGAAUGUCAGACCUCUGAGCCCAAGCCAAGCCAUCGCAUCCCCUGUGACUUGCACAUAUAUGCCCAGAUGGCCUGAAGUAACUGAAGAAUCACAAAAGAAGUGAAAAUGCCCUGCCCCACCUUAACUGAUGACAUUCCACCACAAAAAAAGUGUAAAUGGCCGGUCCUUGCCUGAAGUGAUGACAUUACCUUGUGAAAGCCCUUUUCCUGGCUCAUCCUGGCUCAAAAAGCUCCCCCACUGAGCACCUUGCGACCCCCACUCCUGCCCGCCAGAGAACAAACCCCCUUUGAUUGGAAUUUUCCUUUACCUACCCAAAUCUUAUAAAACGGCCUCACCCCUAUCUCCCUUCCCUGACUCUCUUUUCAGACUCAGCCCGCCUGCACCCAGGUGAUUAAAAGCUUUUAUGGCUCACACAAAGCCUGUUUGGUGGUCUCUUCACAUGGACGCGCAUGAAAGCCUACUUGUGAUAUUUAUUUAUGUCUGCUCUGUACCCAUGAGAUACAAAUGACCCAAGCAACAGAGCUGCCAGUCCAUGCUGAAAGUUUAUGGCACUGAAGCCUGAUCCUGUCUGGCCUCCAGGAUCUUGCAGAUGCCAGGACAGAAGUUUGAGU